rnacentral:rRNA from 1 species
AUUGAACGCUGGCGGCAGGCUUAACACAUGCAAGUCGAGCGAGCGGCGGACGGGUGAGUAAUGUCUGGGAAACUGCCUGAUGGAGGGGGAUAACUACUGGAAACGGUAGAUAAUACCGCAUACCAUCAGAUGUGCCCAGAUGGGAUUAGCUAGUAGGUGGGGUAAUGGCGCACCUAGGCGACGAUCCCUAGCUGGGCUGAGAGGAUGACGAGCCACACUGAAACGGAGACGCGGUCCAGACUCCUACGGGAGGCAGCAGUAGGGACUAUUGCACAAUGGGCGCAAGCCGGAUGCAGCCAUGCCGGGUGUGUGAAGAAGGCCGUCGGGUUGUAAAGCACUUUCAGCGAGGAUGCGUUACUCGCAGAAGAAGCACCGGCUAACUCCGUGCCAGCAGCCGCGGUAAUAC